GAUGAACGCUGGCGGCGUGCCUAAUACAUGCAAGUCGAGCGAACUUUUGGGAGCUUGCUCCCCAAAGUUAGCGGCGGACGGGUGAGUAACACGUGGGUAACCUGCCUGUAAGACUGGGAUAACUUCGGGAAACCGGAGCUAAUACCGGAUAACAUUGAAGCCCACAUGGCCUUCAAUUAAAAGUUGGCUUUUAGCUACCACUUACAGAUGGACCCGCGGCGCAUUAGCUAGUUGGUGAGGUAACGGCUCACCAAGGCGACGAUGCGUAGCCGACCUGAGAGGGUGAUCGGCCAAACUGGGACUGGGACACGGCCCAGAAUCCUACGGGAGGGAGCAGGAGGGAAACAUCCGCAAUGGAGGAAAGUCUGACGGAGGAACGCCGCGGGAGCGAAGAAGGCCUUCGGGUCGGAAAGGUCGGUUGUUAGGGAAGAACAAGUAGCGUUCGAAUAGGGCGGUACCUUGACGGUACCUAACCAGAAAGCCACGGCUAACUACGUG
rnacentral:rRNA from 1 species